AGCCUCCUGCCUUAAUAGCGGCUGCGCCUGCGAGGGGGGUCCGGAUGCCCAGUGCUCCGGGGUCGCGGGCCCCAGACCGCUCUCCGGGGUCACCGGGUCAUGGGCCCUGGCGGGCGGCGGCAGCGACAGGGACAUGAGGAUGUGAGUAGAGGAGACAAGGGGUCCAAGUUAGCCCAGAAGCGAGUCCUGGGGCUUUCUCAUGUCUCUCUGGCCACUACCUGAGCCCAGGUUGGAGGAGGUCAUGGGGAUAAAGAGGACAAAAAAAGGAGACGAAAUGGAGCAGCCAGAACAGUAGGAGGAGCACAAUUUUGAGAUGUUCAAGACAGAGAAAAAUUGCACAGGAAAAAAAAUCAUGUCUCUCCUUAUCAAAACCGGUGAAAGUAAAC